rnacentral:tRNA from 1 species
AGUUAAUUCUUAAAGAAAAGAUUAUGUUUUGAAAGCAUGAUAAAGAGGUUAAAUUCCUCUAUUAACUU